CGUGGAUAUUUCAUUUGAAUCAUUCGUGAUCAGUCCAUGUAGGUAUAUCUUUAAACCGAGUAAGGUUUCACAGAGUUAUACUAUGGGGAAGAAUGUUGAGAAUGAAGCCUCAGAAGAGAAUGUUGAGAAACAGAGGGAUGAAAUAAAUGAUCUUACUGACCCCUUUCAGAAUGUUGAGAAGGAGGCCUCAUGCUUGAAUGUUGAGAAACAGAAGGUAAUUGAUCUUACUGACCCCUUUCAGAAUGUUGAGAAGGAGGCCUCAUGCAAGAAAGUUGAUAAACAGAGGGAUGAAAAAUAAUUGAUCCUACUGACCCUGCCAGAAUGUUGAGAAGGAGGCCUCAUGCAAGAAAGUUUGAUAAACAGAGGGAUGAAAAAUAAUUGAUCUUACUGACCCCUGCCAGAAUGUUGAAAAGGAGGCCUCAUGCAAGAAAGUUGAGAAAAAGAAGGUUAGGGAGUUUAAGGUUGAUGUUAACAUGGAUGUGGAUGAUGAAGCAGUCCUGGACUAUGUAUAUAAUGGAGUUGGCAGUGAAUUGAUUCUAGUUGAGUGCAAUGGUCAGAGUUGUAAGAGGAGUAGUGCCAACACUCUCCUACCGAACACAUGGCUUAACGAUGAGAUUGUGACCAUAUUUGCCUCUUAUCUUAUCUACUAGCAUGGAGCACUAGCGACAAUGUUUAUUUCCACACUUUUUUUCAGCAAGAAGCUACAAUCAUAUUGUACGUAUGAAAAACCGCUAGGAAAAGUUCCUACUCCAAAGAAGAUGUGGGUAAAAAGUUACAGUAAAUACCUUCCUCAUUGCAAAAAGGUUAGUUUGCAGUUGUUUUUAUAAGCAAUAUGGUUGAGUGAUAUUUGGAUUUUGUAUGAUGUCUCACAUUAUGAAUUUUUUUUUUGUUUAAUAGAUGUUCAUACCAAUCCAUGACUCAGAUCAUUGGUAUCUCUUUGUUGUGCAUAUAGAUAACGAGACAGGAGAAUACUGGGAUAGCCUUGGAGACAAAAAAUCACGCAAGGAUUACUGCAAAGAUAUUGUAAGUCACACGAAGCCUGUUGUGGUCAUAAUCCCGUUAACAUUGUAUACUCAGUUGCAUGGUUAUUCUUUCAUGAUGUAACAGCUGAAAGUCUUUGACAUUAUUUUCGGCCAUCUUGUGAAGAAGACUAAGAAAUUUGAAGAUUUUCCCAUUUUUAAGCCGCCACAAUGUCCUAAACAAGAGGGUACUGAUGUGUUUCUGCAUAAUCCCAGAGGACCAUGUAGAAUCACGGUGGAACACGAAUAUAAACAAUCAUGGGCAAGAGACAAGGACGUAUAGUGGUUCACCAUGCCAUCGGAGGGCAUGGCUACGUCCACUUGGAAUUCACUAUCGGGAGGCCUCAAUGACUUUGGGGGGAGAAGAAGAUCGAUCCCUUCUACUUAGGGGGGAACCCUUCCUUUAUAGAUUAGGAAGAUUCCCACUUACAACACACUUUCGAUGUGGGACACAUUACACAUAUUUCUUAUCACGAUGCCUCCUUGCCGUGCUUGGACGGAGGACCUCCUGAUAUGAUAUCGAUGAUCCGACUCCAUGAUGAUGUAGCUUGCAUGUCGGACUACAAGUUUCAUGACUGGUCUAUGGGCAUGGAAGGUAGUUUAUCAACUACCGACUACAAGUCCCCCCAAGUUCCCGUUCAAGACGCGUCUUGAGUGGGGACUUGAUAUAUAAAGUGCCCAUAGACUAGUCAUUUAUUAACGGGCACCCGGCCCUAGUCCUCCCAAGUCCGUACUCAAGGCGUGGGUUGAACGGGUGUUCCGGGUCUUGCUUGUCUUGACGUACACCGUAUCUUUAAGUCCGCCGAUAAGAUAAAUAAUGCCCCUCCCAACACCCGGCUUCAAAACUUACUCGACCGGGCGAGGAUUAUUGUACCUUCACAAUAAACAAAUGAUCGAUUAGCAGCUUACAUAAUUUCUCGGUGGAAUGCCUCUCGGUCUAAUGCCAAUCUCUCGGUCGAAUGCCUAUCCCGCUUGAUAUUACUCGGGAUGUUAAUGACUUAUGCCUCUCGGUCUAAUGCCUAUCCCGCUUAAUAUUACUCGAGAUUUCCAUGACUUAUGCAUUUCGGUCUAAUGCCUAUCCCGCUUGAUAUUACUCGAGAUUUCCAUGACUUAUGCCUCUCGGUCUAAUGCCAAAACCUACUGACUAGCAUGCAUACUCAUAUCCAUACCUGGCAUCAAUAUUAUGAACUUUCACAAACCAACGAGAUAGGGACUUAUCUGUGAAAAUAGCUGCUGAAUGGGUGCACCCAGUAGACCAGAAGUGUGAACUGUGAACACUUAGUUAGGGUUCGAGAGGGUAGUAUCAUGUUGCUAUAGGUUUCCCUCUUCUUUCUUUCACCCCACCANNNNNNNNNNNNNNNNNNNNCAUCUUCCUUUCUUUCUGCCCUAUCUUCCCUUCUGUCCUUUCGUUUC
rnacentral:lncRNA from 1 species